CAUGUCUUUUUGAUAAUAAUUUAAAGUCUGACCUGCCCUAUGAAUUUUUAAAUGGCCGCAGUAUUUUGACUGUGCGAAGGUAGCAUAAUAAUUAGUUUUUUAAUUGAGAACUGGAAUGAAUGGUUGAACGAGAAAAUAACUGUCUCAAUUUAAUUUAAUUAGAAUUUUAUUUUUAAGUAAAAAAGCUUAAAUGAUUUUAAAAGACGAGAAGACCCUAUAGAGUUUUAUAUAAUUUUAUAUAAAUUUAUUAUUAAGUAUUAAAAUAAUUUAUAUUUUAUUUUAUUUAAUUGGGGUGAUUAAAAAAUUUAAUAAACUUUUUUUUUAUAAAACCAAUUUUAUUUGAGUGAUUGAUCCAUUAAUUAUGAUUAUAAGAUUAAAUUACCUUAGGGAUAACAGCGUAAUUUUUUUUGAGAGUUCUUAUCGAAAAAAGAGUUUGCGACC
rnacentral:rRNA from 1 species